GUUUCACUUUGCAUUAUCAGCCCAUGCUUCAGUGCUCUGCUAGUGUUUAUAGUCCUGUGAGUUUAACACUUCAUGACUGAGAGCUGCUGCCCAGCAACUUCACCCACAGCAACCAUGACUUUCUUCUCCAUCUUCAUCUGGACUCUCACUCUCUGGACUGGAGAGUCUUUUGGGGAAAUCAUAAUGACUCAGUCUCCAAAUUCUCAGCUUGUGACUCCAGGACAGACUGUUACCAUCAGCUGCAGAUCCAGUCAGAGCAUCGGCAGCUAUCUCGCCUGGUAUCUUCAGAAAUCUGGAGAAGCUCCUAAACUGCUGGUGUACUACACUAGCAACAGAUAUUCUAGUGUUCCUGGUCGUUUUACUGGGAGCAGAUCUGGAUCUGAAUAUUCUCUACAGAUCUCUGGAGUUCAGGCUGGAGAUGCAGGAGAUUAUUACUGUCAGCAGGGUGACAGCCUUCCGUUCACACAGUGUUAGAGCGUCGUACAAAAACCUCCCUCAGCUGUAGAGGAAGUGCUCAGACUAAGAAACACACACAGUUGUAGGAUUGAAGAUUGAAAAUAACAUAACAAAAUUAAAAUGUAAAGAGUCAUAAAUAGAUGAUAACAUUGUUUUACAGUGGGGUGGUUUUGUAAAGAACCUUCACUUUUACUAAAAGAACCCUUAUAGAACCCCCUAAUUAUAAUUCUCCAGUUCAAGCUGGAUGAUGUAAUGUGAGCAAUGUGGACUUCAGGAGGAUCCUCAUUCCACCACUUUGGGAUAAGUACACUGUAUCAGUGAGAUCUUUACUUAUGGUUCUGUGUGGAUCUCAGUGAUGGACAUUUUAAAAUUUAAAGUUCUGACGUCUGUGUGUAGUUCUUAAAUUAUAAAACACAGCAGCACUUGUUGAUGGGA